UACAGAGGUCCCAAGCGUUGUUCGGAUUCAUUGGGCGUAAAGGGUGCGUAGGUGGCGCCGUAAGUUAGGUGUGAAAUCUCGGGGCUCAACCCCGAAACUGCACUUAAUACUGCGGUGCUCGAGUACUGGAGAGGAGACUGGAAUUUACGGUGUAGCAGUGAAAUGCGUAGAUAUCGUAAGGAAGGCCAGUGGCGAAGGCGGGUCUCUGGACAGUUCCUGACGCUGAGGCACGAAGGCCAGGGGAGCAAACGGG
rnacentral:rRNA from 1 species